UUACACCACCAAAAACUCCUUCACCUAUUCAUGCCCCUCCUAAUGUUCCUUAUACUCCUUCACCUACCAAUCAACCACCUUAUGUUCCAAUUACACCACCAAAAACUCCUUCUCCCAUCCACACCCCUCCUAAUGUUCCUUAUACUCCUUCCCCUAGCAAUAAACCACCAUAUGUACCAAUUACACCUCCAAAAGCUCCUUCCCCAAGCAAUCAUGCACCUAAUGUUCCAAUUACACCUCCAAAGACUCCUUCUCCUACUUACAAUCCUAUUCCUCCUAGUAAUGUUCCUUACACUCCUCCAAAAGCUCCUUCCCCUAACAAUGAACCGCCAUAUACACCAAUUCCUCCAAAAACUCCUUCUCCCGUCUCUCAACCACCCUAUGUACCAAUUACACCACCUAAAUCUCCUUCUCCAAUUCACACCCCUCCUAAUGUUCCUUACACA
rnacentral:lncRNA from 1 species